CAUGCAAGUCGAACGGGAUCCUUCGGGAUUUAGUGGCGGACGGGUGAGUAACGCGUGAGAAUCUGCCCUUAGGUUGGGGACAACAGUUGGAAACGACUGCUAAUACCCAAUGUGCCGAGAGGUGAAAGGUUAACUGCCUGGGGAUGAGCUCGCGUCUGAUUAGCUAGUUGGAGUGGUAACGGCACACCAAGGCGACGAUCAGUAGCUGGUCUGAGAGGAUGAUCAGCCACACUGGGACUGAGACACGGCCCAGACUCCUACGGGAGGCAGCAGUGGGGAAUUUUCCGCAAUGGGCGAAAGCCUGACGGAGCAAGACCGCGUGAGGGAGGAAGGCCUAUUGGUUGUAAACCUCUUUUGAUAGGGAAGAACACAAUGACGGUACCUAUCGAAUCAGCAUCGGCUAACUCCGUGCCAGCAGCCGCGGUAAUACGGAGGAUGCAAGCGUUAUCCGGAUUUAUUGGGCGUAAAGCGUCCGUAGGUGGCAAACCAAGUCAGUUGUUAAAGCGUAGAGCUUAACUCUAUAAGGGCAAUUGAAACUGGUUAGCUAGAGUGCGAUAGGGGCAAGGGGAAUUCCCAGUGUAGCGGUGAAAUGCGUAGAUAUUGGGAAGAACAUCGGUGGCGAAGGCGCCUUGCUGGGUCUGCACUGACACUGAGGGACGAAAGCUAGGGGAGCGAAAGGGAUUAGAUACCCCUGUAGUCCUAGCCGUAAACGAUGGAUACUAGGCGUUGUCCGUAUCGACCCGAGCCGUGCCGAAG
rnacentral:rRNA from 1 species